UUUGUGUGACUUGUUUAUCUUAUAAUCACUUUAACUUUGUAAUCUUUCGGAAGAAACAUUGCUGGAUCUCCAGAAAACUGUUGCAUUAUUAUCUGAAUUUGAUCCAGAAAACCAUAUCUGUAGAUCACACAUCUUGGUAAUAUGUUCACAAGUAAAUGUACAUUACUUACGAAAGAACAAUUGCGAUCAUGUAGAUGUGAAGUAAAUGAUUACUGUACCUUGAAAGUUUAAACCCGUCAGAAGUUUUGAGAUGUAAACACGUGCAAUGUCUAUGAUGCUACUAUGCCGCCUGACAUGGUUGUGAAAGUUUUUCUCUGGAGUAUGUCUAAAGUUUGCAGGAACAGACAAAACCCUUUCUUUAUUUUUUUUUCUUUCUUGUUUGUUUUCCUUCUUUUUCUUUUUCUUUUUUCAAGGUACAAAGGUGGACUCUCAACCAAUCAUUUCUAGUUUUUCUUCUUAAUCCCAAUGAUUUUUGUUAAAUUCUGAAGAAUGUAGAGGACAUUAAUAGAGUUUGCUUCAGCUUUCAUCUGUUUCAGUCUUUAUCGUUCGGGUGAUAAUGGAAGUUUUUUGUGCACGUGUGUGCAUGAGUUUUCCCAGCCCAUGUCAUCAAAGAGCAGGCUACUUUAUUGAAAUCAAAGUUCAAAGUGUCUUGAGAUACCUAUUGAUAGAGUCUAUAAGAAGAGCAAGAAACAACAAAAUGAAACAAGCAGCCAAGUUAGAAAAUUGGUUGAAGCAUAGAAAUUGAAUAAAACUCUCUUUGAAGGUAGAGUCCUCAAGGGAUGGAGGAUCCAAUCAUAUUGCUGCCCAGACUUUACAUUUGACGAAUUGGAAUAAAACAUAAAUGAGAGUAUACUGGCUGCCAACUAACUUAUAGUAACAUAAAAUAAGAAUCAAAUUAAGUAAAAAAAUAAAUUACAACUGAUCCAGAAGAAGUGAAAUUCCCAAUUUGAUCCCAUUUUUCCUUCCAUGCUCUGCAUUAAAGUUUUUA